AUCGCUUCUCGGCCUUUUGGCUAAGAUCAAGUGUAGUAUCUGUUCUUAUCAGUUAAUAUCUGAUACGUCCCCCAUCGGGGGACUAUACAUAUUAAUGGAUUUUUCGAACAGGGAGUCGGAAGCGGGGCUUGCUCCGUCCGCUCCACGCAUCGACUCGGUAUUGCAGUACCUCCGAGAACGGUGCACCCUCU
rnacentral:snRNA from 1 species